rnacentral:rRNA from 1 species
GAAACCGUUCAGGGGUAAACNNGAGAAACCCAAAAGAUCGAAUGGGGAGAUUCAUCGUCAGCUUAUUUUGUAUAUAUGCAAGUUAUGAUAUGGGUUAUUACUUGUCAAAAAGUAGUAUUGCUUGUACAUUCUUGUAUAUUUAUUUGCAAAAUAUNGUCGGCGUGCACUUCUCCCCUAGUAGAACGUCGCGACCCGUUGAGUAAAUUUAUAUAUAUUAUAAUCUACGGCCCAAGUGAUAGCUUUCAAUAAGUGAAUUUAUAGUUUAUUUAUUGAAAAUCCUUGGUGUUACCUGAUUAAUACUUGGCGGUAUUCGUACGGUAUUAAGCCGCAUAUAUUUAAAAUAUGCGUCCUAUUCAUCACAAGCGAGGUUAGUUUUAUACUGAUAGUACGGACUUAGUGCCGUCGUUGGUACUAAUCAGCUGUUAGUUGUAUGAAAUUCUAGGACUGGCUUGUAUUAUUAUUACCGGUCAGCGAUGCUACUGCUUUGGGUACUUUCAGGACCCGUCUUGAAACACGGACCAAGGAGUCUAACAUGUACGCGAGUCAUUGGGAUUAUUAAUAAUUAAACCUAAAGGCGUAAUGAAAGUAAAGAUCAAUUUUAUGUUGAUUAAGGGAAGAUGGGCUAUGUUACGAUAUAGCUUCGCAUUCCCGGGGCGUCUCAUUCUCAUUGCGAGAAGAGGCGCACCUAGAGCGUACACGUUGG